AACUAAUGAACAUAAAGCUCUGGUGAACUAUAAACAUUUAUAGGCAUCCUGUAAAAGUCAGAGGGAGAAGGGGUCAUUUGAAAAGCAAUGUGAGGAUAAUUGCCUGCUAACCAGCCGCUGUUGUUCUACUGGGUGACUGCAUUUUCUAAGGAGUGGGGGUCCCUCGAGGCAAUAGCAGGGGUUAAUUUACAAAAGGUUGGCAGGUGUGUUAACCUGCAUAUGCUUUUCUUUCAUAUUAUGGGGUUUCAAAUUUAUCUUAACAACAGUCAUUUUGCCUUUUCACAAUAGGACAUGGUUACUAAUAAAAUGAACAAUGGCUCUCUCAGUGUGAGAAAGCAUGAAUGACACCAGGACCCUGAAACCGAGGCAGCCAAACAGAAUUCAUCCAGAAAGUGCAACUCAGCACACAAAAGUUAAUGCCAGUGCACACUACAAGACUUUUGCACUGAUUUUCCACUCCUAAGCAAACCUGAUUCUGCACCUGCACAGCUAAGCCUUAUUACUCCAGCUGCACGCAUUCUCCACUCUGUUAAAUCAAUCAGAUCUUGCCAUGACCUGUGAAACUGCUGCCGGGAGCUGUCAUUUUAGCGUCAGAUCAAUGCAGCCCUCAUCCGCCAACAUUCAGCUCCAGUUUCAGA